CCUACGGGUGGCAGCAGUGAGGAAUAUUUGUCAAUGGCCGGAAGGCUGAACCAGCCAAGUCGCGUGAGGGACUACUGCUCUAUGGGUUGUAAACCUCUUUUAUAAGGGAAGAAUAUAUGCUACGUGUAGCAUGAUACCUGUACCUUAUGAAUUAGCAUCGGCUAACUCCGUGCCAGCAGACGUGGUAAGACGGAGGAUGAGACCGUUAUCCGGAUUCAUUGGGUUAAAAGGGUGCGUAGGCGGUUUUUGAGGUUAGUGGUUAAACGUCGGGGCUACACCUGGAUUUGCCAUUAAUACUGUAAGACUAGAGUUCAGAAGAGGGAGGCGGAAUACGUUAAGUAGCAGUGAAAGGCUUAGAUAUA
rnacentral:rRNA from 1 species